ACACACUUUUGAAAUUUCCUAAGUUUCCCUGUGUCAAUCUGCUCAAUUUUUCCAGCAUUUUCUUGCCACUUUCUCGGAAAAUAUAGUUUGCAUGAGUCCUCUAAGACUUCUCACCUUCCCAAUAUUUAUCAGUUUGUUCAUCAUGGCAAUCUCUCAUCUGGGUCAAGCUCAGAACUUGGAUCUUUCCCCAGCACCUGCUCCUACCAGUGAUGGCACUGCAAUUGAUCAAGGAAUUGCUUACUUGCUUAUGCUGGUGGCGUUGGGAAUCACAUACAUGCUCCAUUGAUUUUAUUUUUUUGUAUUUUCUCUUAAUAUUUUUUUUGAGGGAAUUCCAGGAUUUUUUGUUGUAAUUACUAGUGAUGAAAUACAAAUAUACAAUAUUAUUCUUUGAUA